rnacentral:rRNA from 1 species
AGAGAGAGACAUGCGCGCAUAUCAAUAAGCGGAGGAAAAGAAACUAACAAGGAUUCCCUUAGUAACGGCGAGUGAAGCGGGAAGAGCUCAAAUUUGAAAUCUUCAAGGUUUUACCUUGACGAAUUGUAGUUUAAAGAAGUGUUUUCUGUUGAAGUUUUGGUAAAAGUUCUUUGGAAUAGGACAUCAUAGAGGGUGAGAAUCCCGUAUUUGACCAUUAUUUUCCAGCUUUGUGAUACACUUUCAAAGAGUCGGAUUGUUUGGGAAUGCAGUCCAAAAUGGGUGGUAAAUUUCAUCUAAAGCUAAAUAUUGGCGAGAGACCGAUAGCGAACAAGUACCGUGAGGGAAAGAUGAAAAGAACUUUGAAAAGAGAGUUAAACAGUACGUGAAAUUGUCAAAAGGGAAGCGUUUGACACCAGUGUUGUUUUCUCGAAAAUCAAUUAAAAAUGGCUCGAUUUUGUAUUGCUGAGACCUUAAAAGCUCACUGUACAUUUUUCGUGUCUUUUUUAAUGCACUUUUCGUUUAACAAGUCAACAUCAGUUUCUUUUGUUGUAAAAGGGUCAUUGGAAGGUGGCUUUCUUUUCGGAGAAAGUAUUUAUAGCCUUUGGCCUCUGCAAUCGAAGAGACUGAGGUCUGCAGCGUAGACUCUUCGGGGUUAGAUACAUUUGUGCUAAGUUAUAGCUUUUUAUAGACAACUUGUUGACUAUAAUUAGUCUUGUAGCUUACUCGCUUAUGCUAUUUUACCUACGCUUAGGAUGUUGAAGAUGUAGCACAUCAU